rnacentral:rRNA from 1 species
AGAUUGAACGCUGGCGGCAUGCCUUACACAUGCAAGUCGAACGGCAGCACGGGAGCAAUCCUGGUGGCGAGUGGCGAACGGGUGAGUAAUAUAUCGGAACGUGCCCAGUCGUGGGGGAUAACGCAGCGAAAGCUGUGCUAAUACCGCAUACGAUCUAUGGAUGAAAGCGGGGGAUCGCAAGACCUCGCGCGAUUGGAGCGGCCGAUAUCAGAUUAGCUAGUUGGUGGGGUAAAAGCCUACCAAGGCGACGAUCUGUAGCUGGUCUGAGAGGACGACCAGCCACACUGGAACUGAGACACGGUCCAGACUCCGUACGGGAGCAGCAGGUGGGGAAUUUGGAC